rnacentral:rRNA from 1 species
CCUACGGGAGGCAGCAGUGAGGAAUAUUGGUCAAUGGGCGCGAGCCUGAACCAGCCAAGUCGCGUGAGGGAGGACGGCCCUACGGGUUGUAAACCUCUUUUGCCGGGGAGCAACUGGCGCCACGUGUGGCGUCACUGACAGUACCCUGAGUACAAGCAGCGGCUAACUUCGGGCCAGCAGCCGCGGUAAUACGGAGGAUUCGAGCGUUAUCCGGAUUUAUUGGGUUUAAAGGGUGCGUAGGCGGAUCGUUAAGUCAGUGGUAAAAUUGAGGGGCUCAACCCCUUCCCGCCAUUGAGACUGGGGAUCUUGAGUGGAAGAGAGGAAUGCGGAAUGCGUGGUGUAGCGGUGAAAUGCAUAGAUAUCACGCAGAACACCGAUUGCGAAGGCGGCAUGCCGGCUUCCGACUGACGCUGAAGCACGAAAGCGUGGGGAUCGAACAGGAUUAGAUACCCCUGUAGUC